UCCAGUGCCUAGGCUUAGCACCAGGCUGCUUGUUUUGGACUCCUCUGAUGGCGGAUUCCUAAUGACUUAUGACCAAGAUGGCCGCCUCCAUGGAAGACGUUACCGGAACGCUUUGAAAUUCCACGACGGCGUCUUAAAAAAGGUUCACUAACAAUUCCCAAACGCUGGUAAGAUACUUUCCAGGCACUGGAGGAAGUUAAAGAUAUCUUAAGAAUCGAUUUUGCUUGCAAUUAAGGAAUUGAAACGGAAAUGCAGCAGGUUUUUUUCAGAACUCAACAUUUAUGAAUUCAUAUCAUUCAUAACAUGACAUCCAGAAGCCAUAAUUGCAGCUAAAGGCAAAGCGUGAAAAAGGGAAGUUAUCUCAAAGCAACUUUUUUUCAUAAGCCAGCAAAAAACCGGAGUAACUAGGAUUUAUGGGAGUUUAUGAUGAAUACUAUUGGCGUAAUUGAAUUUCAAGAAUAAUUCUUCGAAGAUAAGAAAAAAAAGCUAACAAAACAGUGCAAUUUGGACUUUCGAUGACCAAACCAUCUACAAUAACACCAUGUGAAUCAGGAAAACCAAUUCAUUGCAUCUUACUGCUCGUCAUACAGAGAAAAACAGAGAUAAGGCCUAAAAAAGAGCCAACUCCAAAGAAGCAACCCUUUAGUUCCUGAACUGAGAUGGCUACAAUGGGGCAAAACCUUGUAAGCUGAUUGGACAAAAGAAGGCCUACAUGCUCGCUAAACUGGAUUGGUUCUCGGAAAGAUAUUCAUUCAUAAUUUCGCCUUACGUCGACGAAUCUGUGUUUAAGCGCAAGAAUCUUCAUAAAAUCUUAUAAGUUUAUAAUGAACCCUUAUGUAAUUUGAGGAAAACUUUGAUUUUCUCUCUAAUGGUACUGUAAAAUGUAAAAUAAAAUAAUA